GGAGAACUGCGAGGAGCCAACCCUAGUACGAGAGGACUGGGUUGGGCUAACCUAUAGUGUACCGGUUGUUAUGCCAAUAGCAGCGCCGGGCAGCUAAGUUGGUAUGGAAGAACUGCUGUGCCGCGGGAAAUCCUUCUCUAUACAAGUUCUCGGACGAGGUUUUUGAACAGAACUUCGAUAGGCGAGAGGUGUAAGCACCGCGAGGUGUGAAGCAAUCUCGUACUAAACG
rfam:Nicotiana attenuata strain TT chromosome 9, whole genome shotgun sequence.